AGAGUUUGAUCAUGGCUCAGGAUGAACGCUGGCGGCGUGCUUAACACAUGCAAGUCGAACGGGAAACCCGCCCUCGGGCGGUUAUAGAGUGGCGAACGGGUGAGUAACACGUGACCAACCUGCCCCAUGCUCCGGGAUAACCUCUGGAAACGGAAGCUAAUACCGGAUACUCCGCGCAGCCCGCAUGGGCCGCGCGGGAAAGCGCAUACGGCAUGGGAUGGGGUCGCGGCCCAUUAGGUAGACGGCGGGGUGACGGCCCACCGUGCCCGCGAUGGGUAGCCGGGUUGAGAGACCGACCGGCCACAUUGGGACUGAGAUACGGCCCAGACUCCUACGGGAGGCAGCAGUGGGGAAUUUUGCGCAAUGGGGGAAACCCUGACGCAGCAACGCCGCGUGCGGGAUGACGGCCUUCGGGUUGUAAACCGCUUUCAGCAGGGAAGAUCGUGACGGUACCUGCAGAAGAAGCCCCGGCUAACUACGUGCCAGCAGCCGCGGUAAUACGUAGGGGGCGAGCGUUAUCCGGAUUCAUUGGGCGUAAAGCGCGCGUAGGCGGCCGCCUAAGCGGGACCUCUAAUCCCGGGGCUCAACCCCGGGCCGGGUCCCGAACUGGGCGGCUCGGGUGCGGUAGAGGAAGGUGGAAUUCCUAGUGUAGCGGUGGAAUGCGCAGAUAUUAGGAAGAACACCGAUGGCGAAGGCAGCCUUCUGGGUCGCCACCGACGCUGAGGCGCGAAAGCUGGGGGAGCGAACAGGAUUAGAUACCCUGGUAGUCCCAGCCGUAAACGAUGGGCGCUAGGUGUGGGGGGACGAUCCCUCCGUGCC
rnacentral:rRNA from 1 species